AAUCAACGCUGGCGGCGUGCCUCAGACAUGCAAGUCGAACGAUUAAAGCUCUCUUCGGAGAGUGCAUAGAGUGGCGCACGGGUGAGUAACACGUAAGUAAUCUACCUUCGAGUGGGGAAUAACGUCCGGAAACGGACGCUAAUACCGCAUAAUGCAGCGGCAUCGUAAGAUGACAGUUGUUAAAGAUUUAUCGCUUGAAGAGGAGCUUGCGGCAGAUUAGCUAGUUGGUAAGGUAAUGGCUUACCAAGGCUACGAUCUGUAACCGGUCUAAGAGGACGGUCGGUCACACUGACACUGAAUAACGGGUCAGACUCCUACGGGAGGCAGCAGUCGGGAAUUUUGGGCAAUGGGCGAAAGCCUGACCCAGCAACGCCGCGUGAAGGAUGAAGUAUUUCGGUAUGUAAACUUCGAAAGAAUAGGAAGAAUAAAUGACGGUACUAUUUAUAAGGUCCGGCUAACUACGUGCCAGCAGCCGCGGUAAUACGUAGGGACCAAGCGUUGUUCGGAUUUACUGGGCGUAAAGGGCGCGUAGGCGGCAAUUCAAGUCAUCUGUGAAAUCUCCGGGCUUAACUUGGAACGGUCAGAUGAUACUGCUUUGCUAGAGUGCGGAAGGGGCAAUCGGAAUUCUUGGUGUAGCGGUGAAAUGCGUAGAUAUCAAGAGGAACACCUGAGGUGAAGACGGGUUGCUGGGCCGACACUGACGCUGAGUGCGCGAAAGCCAGGGGAGCAAACGGGAUUAGAUACCCCGGUAGUCCUGGCCCUAAACGAUGAAUACUUGGUGUCUGGAGUCUUUAAUGCUCCGGGUGCCGUCGCUAACGUUUUUAGUAUUCCGCCUGGGGAGUACGCUCGCAAGAGUG
rnacentral:rRNA from 1 species